rnacentral:lncRNA from 1 species
CCCCAUUCUAGCAAUCUCUGAUGAGAUGUUAAGAUUUAGAAAGUCAUCAUGCAGUCUGGAGUUGUCUCUUUUGAAAUGAGAGUUGUAUAAGAAUGAAGAAUUCUAUUACUCUUCUGUUUUCACGUCCAAGAAAAAAGGAACUCAACUAAGAAUGCCCCUGUAGGGCCUACAUCACUGUCUUCUGUCUACAGACCUCCUCCUUUUGAGGACAUUUUCUCUCAACUCAUUUUGCUGGGAGCUCCUAAAUAUCUCUCAAGGAUAUCAAUCUCAACAUUCAAACUCUGUGUCUUAAAGCAUGUUCCUCACUUGCGUAUUUAUGUAUAAUGCCAUACGAAGAUCUGUAGGCAGAGGAGUGGGAGUGACGAUAAGAAAAGGGGAAAGAAGGACCUAAAAAUUGUUACCCCUAUUGAUCAAGAUGACACAGAUCUUUGUGGCAUUCUGUCCUCUGAAGUUUUUCUUCAAGGGAUUGAGUUCGCCACUGAUAUUUUAAAGAAGAUGCAGAAGGGCAGAUGCCAAGAGGGGAUUAGUGAAACUGUCACCAGAGGACAGAUUCUGUUUCCCUGACAAGAUAGGAACCACUUUCAAGCUGUUUAAGUUACUUAACAGGAACGUCCUGAGAAAAAACAGUAAGGUGACAGUUUCCACUGUCACUUCUCCUGUGCCCC